ACGGGUUGUGCCAUUGGGUAACCGAAGGUACAGCUAGUGGCGAACGGGUGAGUAACGCAUGGGUAACGUACCCUGGACACAGGGAUAGCGGUUCGAAAGGGCCGGUAAUACCUGAUGAAGUCUUCGAGUCGCAUGGCUCGAUGAUCAAAUGGUCCGCUGGUCUGGGAUCGGCCCAUGUCCUAUCAGGUUGUUGGUGAGGUAAUGGCUCACCAAGCCUGCGACGGGUAGCGGGACUGAGAGGUUGGCCCGCCACAUCGGGACUGAGACACUGCCCGGACACCUACGGGUGGCUGCAGCACCGAAUAUUAGACAAUGGGCGCAAGCCUGAUCUAGCGACGCCGCGUGCAGGAUGAAGCCCUUCGGGGUGUAAACUGCUGUCAGGGGCUAGAAAUGCCUGCUUCGGCAGGUUUGAUCAGCCCCAGAGGAAGCCUCGGCUAACUCCGUGCCAGCAGCCGCGGUAAGACGGAGGAGGCAAGCGUUGUUCGGAAUCACUGGGCUUAAAGAGCGUGUAGGCGGACCGGUAAGUACUUUGUGAAAGCCCUCGGCUCAACCGAGGAACUGCUGGGUAUACUGCCGGUCUUGAGGCAAGUAGGGGCGAGUGGAACUCUAGGUGGAGCGGUGAAAUGCGUAGAGAUCUAGAGGAACGCCGGUGGCGAAAGCGACUCGCUGGACUUGUCCUGACGCUGAGACGCGAAAGCGUAGGGAGCGAACGGGAUUAGAUACCCCGGUAGUCUACGCCGUAAACGAUGCGCACUAGGUAUAAGGAUCUCUGACGAUGUUUGUGCCGAAGCAAAAGCGUUAAGUGCGCCGCCUGGGGAGUACGGCCGCAAGGCUAAAACUCAAAGGAAUUGACGGGGCCU
rnacentral:rRNA from 1 species